rnacentral:rRNA from 1 species
GAUGAACGCUGGCGGCGUGCCUAAUACAUGCAAGUCGAGCGAACGGACGAGAAGCUUGCUUUUCUGAUGUUAGCGGCGGACGGGUGAGUAACACGUGGAUAACCUACCUAUAAGACUGGGAUAACUUCGGGAAACCGGAGCUAAUACCGGAUAAUAUUUUGAACCGCAUGGUUCAAAAGUGAAAGACGGUCUUGCUGUCACUUAUAGAUGGAUCCGCGAUGCAUUAGCUAGUUGGUAAGGUAACGGCUUACCAAGGCAACGAUGCAUAGCCGACCUGAGAGGGUGAUCGGCCACACUGGAACUGAGACACGGUCCAGACUCCUACGGGAGGCAGCAGUAGGGAAUCUUCCGCAAUGGGCGAAAGCCUGACGGAGCAACGCCGCGUGAGUGAUGAAGGUCUUCGGAUCGUAAAACUCUGUUAUUAGGGAAGAACAUAUGUGUAAGUAACUGUGCACAUCUUGACGGUACCUAAUCAGAAAGCCACGGCUAACUACGU